rnacentral:lncRNA from 1 species
GACAGCCUCAGACUCAGGGCUGGGACCCUUGGGACUCAAAAGAGAGAAAAGGUGGAGAAAAGAGAAAGCUACUAUUUUCUUCAUUUUGCCCCUGCUAACAUCCAAUGCACUUAGGAGCCUCGAUGUCUGCUCUCCAAGAGAUGUCUGAUCUGAAAGCAUGUUGUGGUCCGCUACACACAAGAGCAAAAGAAGAGCAGGAAGGAGCUCAGUGCCAAGACCAUAGCCACAGGAAGAAAACCAGCUCUUAGGGCUGCAGCUCUAAAGACAGGCCAGGUCAUUACAGGAACGUCUGCUCCCUUAGCCUUGCCAGACAGAGGAGGGUUAAGAAAGGAACUGCUGACCCUGAUAUGCAAACUGCCACGAGUGCUUCCUGCCUUUCUAUCAGCAUCAGAUGGCUAGCGAUGGAUGGCUGUGGAGAGAGGAUGCCAGACAGAUAUUUGAGCAGAACAAAGAGAGCCAACAGGAUGAAGGCAUUCCCUGGCUGGUUGGACAAGCAACUGAAGAACAGGAACAGAAGUGAAUGAAAAGAGAAGAUGCUGUGUUUGUGUUUUCUCUUGGUUAGAAUGCUGUGAGUCAGGACCUUAGCUGCUGGGUGUCCUGGG